UUUCGACAAUAGCAAACUUAUCUAAAGGUAAGGACGCAAAGCCAUGGGUCUAAGGAACAAAUAUGUUGUUCUAUGAUUGCCAGACUGCCGAA
rnacentral:ncRNA from 1 species